CGAGGUUUCACAAGUCAAUAUUUGAUUAACAUAUGCAUAGGUCAUGUGGGGCAGUUCAACUCAAAACCCCAUUGUGAUACACAAUCUCUUUUUAUCGAUUUUAUUCUUUCUUCCUUUUUUCUUUUUCUUUUUUGUGGAAAAAUGUGUAAUAUAUUUGCAUAUAAUUUUCAAUAAAUGUUGAGCUAUAAGUUUAAUUUAAAAUACUUUUUAAAUCUAUGAAUUUUGUUGUUGUUUUGUUAUCUUUAAGAUCAACAAACCUUGUGACGCUUGACAAAAUAUAAUUGGUAGAUUGGACGCAUCCGUUAUUUUCAUUCCCGCCAAACUUUAUCCACCACCGCUACCUGUAAUACUCAGCCAUCCAAAUUCACAAAAAU
rnacentral:lncRNA from 1 species